rnacentral:rRNA from 1 species
UACGUAGGGUGCAAGCGUUAAUCGGAAUUACUGGGCGUAAAGCGUGCGCAGGCGGUCUUGUAAGACAGAGGUGAAACUCCCGGGCUCAACUGGGGAGGGUCACGCGAUACUGCUCGACUGGAAGGCAGGAGAGGGAAGCAGAAUUCCCGGUGUAGUGGUGAAAUGCGCAGAUAUCGGGAAGAACACCCGUGGCGAAGGCGGCACUCGUGGGACGGUACUGGACGCUGAGACGCGAAAGCGUGGGGAGCGAACGAG